CAGAUUAACGCUGGCGGAAUGCCUAACACAUGCAAGUCGAACGGCAGCACAAUAAAGAUUUCGGUCUUUAUGGGUGGCGAGUGGCGGACGGGUGAGUAACGCGUAGGAAUCUGUCCUGGAGAGUGGGAUAACCCGAGGAAACUCGGGCUAAUACUGCAUGACAUUGAGAGAUCAAAAGCAGGGGACCGAAAGGCCUUGCGCUCUGGGGUGAGCCUACGUCGGAUUAGCUAGUUGGUGGGGUAAAGGCCUACCAAGGCGACGAUCCGUAGCUGGUCUGAGAGGAUGACCAGCCACACUGGGACUGAGACACGGCCCAGACUCCUACGGGAGGCAGCAGUGGGGAAUCUUGGACAAUGGGGGAAACCCUGAUCCAGCGAUGCCGCGUGUGUGAAGAAGGCCUUCGGGUUGUAAAGCACUUUAGGUGGGGAAGAAAGGUAGCGAGUGAAUAACUUUCUGCUGUGACGGUACCCAUAGAAUAAGCACCGGCUAACUCUGGUGCCAGCC
rnacentral:rRNA from 1 species